rnacentral:rRNA from 1 species
UCCCGGAUGUUAGCGGCGGACGGGUGAGUAACACGUGGGUAACCUGCCUGUAAGACUGGGAUAACUCCGGGAAACCGGAGCUAAUACCGGAUAGUUCCUUGAACCGCAUGGUUCAAGGAUGAAAGACGGUUUCGGCUGUCACUUACAGAUGGACCCGCGGCGCAUUAGCUAGUUGGUGAGGUAACGGCUCACCAAGGCGACGAUGCGUAGCCGACCUGAGAGGGUGAUCGGCCACACUGGGACUGAGACACGGCCCAGACUCCUACGGGAGGCAGCAGUAGGGAAUCUUCCGCAAUGGACGAAAGUCUGACGGAGCAACGCCGCGUGAGUGAUGAAGGUUUUCGGAUCGUAAAGCUCUGUUGUUAGGGAAGAACAAGUGCAAGAGUAACUGCUUGCACCUUGACGGUACCUAACCAGAAAGCCACGGCUAACUACGUGCCAGCAGCCGCGGUAAUACGUAGGUGGCAAGCGUUGUCCGGAAUUAUUGGGCGUAAAGGGCUCGCAGGCGGUUUCUUAAGUCUGAUGUGAAAGCCCCCGGCUCAACCGGGGAGGGUCAUUGGAAACUGGGAAACUUGAGUGCAGAAGAGGAGAGUGGAAUUCCACGUGUAGCGGUGAAAUGCGUAGAGAUGUGGAGGAACACCAGUGGCGAAGGCGACUCUCUGGUCUGUAACUGACGCUGAGGAGCGAAAGCGUGGGGAGCGAACAGGAUUAGAUACCCUGGUAGUCCACGCCGUAAACGAUGAGUGCUAAGUGUUAGGGGGUUUCCGCCCCUUAGUGCUGCAGCUAACGCAUUAAGCACUCCGCCUGGGGAGUACGGUCGCAAGACUGAAACUCAAAGGAAUUGACGGGGGCCCGCACAAGCGGUGGAGCAUGUGGUUUAAUUCGAAGCAACGCGAAGAACCUUACCAGGUCUUGACAUCCUCUGACAACCCUAGAGAUAGGGCUUUCCCUUCGGGGACAGAGUGACAGGUGGUGCAUGGUUGUCGUCAGCUCGUGUCGUGAGAUGUUGGGUUAAGUCCCGCAACGAGCGCAACCCUUGAUCUUAGUUGCCAGCAUUCAGUUGGGCACUCUAAGGUGACUGCCGGUGACAAACCGGAGGAAGGUGGGGAUGACGUCAAAUCAUCAUGCCCCUUAUGACCUGGGCUACACACGUGCUACAAU